UACGAAGGGGGCUAGCGUUGUUCGGAAUUACUGGGCGUAAAGCGCACGUAGGCGGAUUGUUAAGUUAGGGGUGAAAUCCCAGGGCUCAACCCUGGAACUGCCUUUAAUACUGGCAAUCUCGAGUCCGAGAGAGGUGAGUGGAAUUCCGAGUGUAGAGGUGAAAUUCGUAGAUAUUCGGAGGAACACCAGUGGCGAAGGCGGCUCACUGGCUCGGUACUGACGCUGAGAGACGAAAGCGAGGGGAGCAAAUGGG
rnacentral:rRNA from 1 species